UACGAAGGGGGCUAGCGUUGUUCGGAAUUACUGGGCGUAAAGCGUGCGCAGGCGGUUUUGUAAGCCAGAUGUGAAAUCCCCGGGCUUAACCUGGGAAUGGCAUUUGGGACUGCAAGGCUCGAGUGCGGCAGAGGAGACUGGAAUUCCUGGUGUAGCAGUGAAAUGCGUAGAGAUCAGGAGGAACACCGGUGGCGAAGGCGGCCCACUGGGCUGUCACUGACGCUGAGGCGCGAAAGCUCGGGGAGCGAACGGG
rnacentral:rRNA from 1 species